AUUGAACGCUGGCGGCAGGCCUAACACAUGCAAGUCGAGCGGAUGAAGGGAGCCUGCUCCUGGAUUCAGCGACGGACGGGUGAGUAAUGCCUAGGAAUCUGCCUGGUAGUGGGGGAUAACGUCCGGAAACGGGCGCUAAUACCGCAUACGUCCUGAGGGAGAAAGUGGGGGAUCUUCGGACCUCACGCUAUCAGAUGAGCCUAGGUCGGAUUAGCUAGUUGGUGGGGUAAAGGCCUACCAAGGCGACGAUCCGUAACUGGUCUGAGAGGAUGAUCAGUCACACUGGAACUGAGACACGGUCCAGACUCCUACGGGAGGCAGCAGUGGGGAAUAUUGGACAAUGGGCGAAAGCCUGAUCCAGCCAUGCCGCGUGUGUGAAGAAGGUCUUCGGAUUGUAAAGCACUUUAAGUUGGGAGGAAGGGCAGUAAGUUAAUACCUUGCUGUUUUGACGUUACCAACAGAAUAAGCACCGGCUAACUUCGUG
rnacentral:rRNA from 1 species